rnacentral:lncRNA from 1 species
UUUCCCAUUCCCCUGCCAGGCUCUCCCUGCUGACAUUGUUUUUGCGGGAGAGCUGUGAAUUCUGAAGAUUAGGUUGCUUCUCACCCCAAGCUCCAGAAGUCCAGGCUGAGCCAAACCAAGCUUCAAGUUGUGCCUGGACUUGGAGAACCAGGAGGUGAGGGGACUGACUACUUGAAGAUCACAUGGAGGAGGAGUCUGAUCCAGGCCCAGGCACCAAGGAAAGGCCAUGCAAGGACACAGGGAGAAGGGCAGCUGUCUGUAAGCCAGAAAGAGCCUUCACUAGAAACCAAAUCAGCCAGAACCUUCAUCUUGGACUUUCCAGCCUUCAGAGAUGUGAAAAAAUAAAUUUCUGUUGAUUAACCUA